GGCGUGGUGGCAGAGUGGUCUAAUGCGCAAGACUAGGAAUCUUCCAGGAUAUCUUGUUCCUUCGGGAGCGUCGAUUCAAGUCCGGCCUACGUCG